CCUACGGGAGGCAGCAGUGGGGAAUAUUGGACAAUGGGCGAAAGCCUGAUCCAGCAAUGCCGCGUGAGUGAUGAAGGCCUUAGGGUUGUAAAGCUCUUUUACCAGGGAUGAUAAUGACAGUACCUGGAGAAUAAGCUCCGGCUAACUCCGUGCCAGCAGCCGCGGUAAUACGGAGGGAGCUAGCGUUGUUCGGAAUUACUGGGCGUAAAGCGUACGUAGGCGGUUAUUCAAGUCAGAGGUGAAAGCCUGGAGCUCAACUCCAGAACUGCCUUUGAAACUAGAUAGCUAGAAUCUUGGAGAGGUGAGUGGAAUUCCGAGUGUAGAGGUGAAAUUCGUAGAUAUUCGGAAGAACACCAGUGGCGAAGGCGACUCACUGGACAAGUAUUGACGCUGAGGUACGAAAGCGUGGGGAGCAAACAGGAUUAGAUACCCUGGUAGUCCACGCCGUAAACGAUGAUAACUAGCUGUUCGGGCUCUACGAGCUUGAGUGGCGCAGCUACGACAUUAAGUUAGUCCGUCCGUCGGGUAGGUACGGUCGGCGAGUAAGUUAAACGUAACGUUAAAGAAGUAGUUAGGCGUGNGAGNGCGACGGACGACGACGAGGGAGGAGG
rnacentral:rRNA from 1 species